GGAAUAUUGGUCAAUGGACGGAACUCUGAACCAGCCAAGUCGCGUGAAGGAUGAAGGUUCUAUGGAUUGUAAACUUCUUUUAUUCGAGGGUAAAGGUCGGUACGCGUACCGAUUUGCAAGUAUCGAAUGAAUAAGCAUCGGCUAACUCCGUGCCAGCAGCCGCGGUAAUACGGAGGAUGCGAGCGUUAUCCGGAUUUAUUGGGUUUAAAGGGUGCGUAGGCGGGAUUUUAAGUCAGCGGUGAAACGCAAGGGCUCAACCCUUGACCUGCCGUUGAAACUGGAGUUCUUGAAUGCGGAUGCUGUGGGAGGAAUGUGUGGUGUAGCGGUGAAAUGCAUAGAUAUCACACAGAACACCGAUUGCGAAGGCAUCUCACAAAUCCGUGAUUGACGCUGAGGCACGAAAGUGUGGGGAUCAAACA
rnacentral:rRNA from 1 species